CGGCGGCCUUUUAGCCAAGUGUUUCGAUCGAUUUGAUUUCAAGGAGGGCUUAAAAAAAGGUCAAAUCGUUCGCAUUUUGGUUAGAUCGACGCGUUGAUGUGUGAGCUGCUAAUUUAAUGUUUGUGUUGGCUGGCUCCCUGCUUGCGCAGCGAACAGUCGGCGCUUACGUAUUUCAGUCGGGAUUGAGACGCGUUUGCGGAUUUUUGUGUUGGCAACCCAAUUGAUGGAAUUCUUACGACUCGAACGCGUAACUUCGCCGAACACCCCUCGCGGUGGUAGGCGGACGAUGAAGCUGCCCCUUUUUUUGCCGUGGUCUUCCGUUCCGGAUCCAUGGAAAAUUCGGUGGCGCUGCUCGUUGCCUCGGAUGCAGAGCAUGAAGCGAGCAUGAUGCCUGUCAUCAUUCGCUCAUUCAGAGCUCUCGAUUGCUCGGAAAGAGAGACCGUCGUGCUUGGUAUUGGCUGUCGACUCGUCGAUCCAGCUCGAAACCGUGCCGACGUCUUCAAUGAAUGCUACCUGGUUGAUCCUGCCAGUAGUCAUAUGCUUGUCUCAAAGAUUAAGCCAUG
rnacentral:misc_RNA from 1 species